rnacentral:tRNA from 4 species
CCGCCCCUAGCUCAAUCGGCAGAGCAGAGGACUCUUAAUCCUAAGGUUCUGGGUUCGAUUCCCAGGGGGCGGACAA